rnacentral:rRNA from 1 species
CCUACGGGUGGCAGCAGUGGGGAAUAUUGCACAAUGUGGGAAACCCUGAUGCAGCGACGCCGCGUGAGUGAAGAAGUAUUUCGGUAUGUAAAGCUCUAUCAGCAGGGAAGAAAAUGACGGUACCUGAUUAAGAAGCCCCGGCUAACUACGGGCCAGCAGCCGCGGUAAUACGUAGGGGGCAAGCGUUAUCCGGAUUUAUUGGGUGGUAAGGGAGCCUAGGUGGCAGCAAAAGUUUGGAGGGAAAUGCCGGGGCUUAACCCCGGAACUGCGUUGGAAACUGUGCAGCUAGAGUGAAGGAGAGGUAAGUGGAAGUCGUGGUGUAGCGGUGAAAUGCGUAGAUAUUAGGAAGAACACCAGUGGCGAAGGCGGCUUACUGGACUGUAACUGACGUUGAGGCUCGAAAGCGUGGGGAGCAAACAGGAUUAGAUACCCUAGUAGUC